rnacentral:rRNA from 1 species
AUGAACGCUAGCGACAGGCCUAACACAUGCAAGUCGAGGGGCAGCACAAGGAGCAAUCUGAGGUGGCGACCGGCGCACGGGUGAGUAACACGUAUGCAACCUGUCUGUAAGCGGGGAAUAACCCGUUGAAAGACGGACUAAUACCGCAUAAUACUAAAUUACUGCAUGGUAAUUUAUUUAAACAUUUAUGGCUUACAGAUGGGCAUGCGCAUGAUUAGCUAGUUGGAGAGGUAACGGCUCCCCAAGGCAACGAUCAUUAGGGGUUCUGAGAGGAAGGUCCCCCACACUGGUACUGAGACACGGACCAGACUCCUACGGGAGGCAGCAGUGAGGAAUAUUGGUCAAUGGACGAGAGUCUGAACCAGCCAAGUCGCGUGCAGGAAGAAUGUCCUAUGGAUUGUAAACUGCUUUUGCAGGGGAAUAAAGUGCAUCACGUGUGAUGUUUUGUAUGUACUCUGCGAAUAAGGAUCGGCUAACUCCGUGCCAGCAGCAGC